UACCCUGUAGAACCGAAUUUGUGUG
rnacentral:ncRNA from 6 species